rnacentral:pre_miRNA from 1 species
AUAGAGUGAUGCAGCCAAGGAUGACUUGCCGGCGGUAUUAGCUCAUGUUCAUGUGUUUUGCGUCCACUCGUUGUGUUGGCAAGUUAUUCUUGGCUAUGUUAAUCUCUCU